rnacentral:rRNA from 1 species
UGAACGCUGGCGGCGUGCCUAAUACAUGCAAGUCGAGCGAACGGACGAGAAGCUUGCUUCUCUGAUGUUAGCGGCGGACGGGUGAGUAACACGUGGAUAACCUACCUAUAAGACUGGGAUAACUUCGGGAAACCGGAUCUAAUACCGGAUGAUAUUUUGAACCGCAUGGUUCAAAAGUGAAAGACGGUCUUGCUGUCACUUAUAGAUGGAUCCGCGCUGCAUUAGCUAGUUGGUAAGGUAACGGCUUACCAAGGCAACGAUGCAUAGCCGACCUGAGAGGGUGAUCGGCCACACUGGAACUGAGACACGGUCCAGACUCCUACGGGAGGCAGCAGUAGGGAAUCUUCCGCAAUGGGCGAAAGCCUGACGGAGCAACGCCGCGUGAGUGAUGAAGGUCUUCGGAUCGUAAAACUCUGUUAUUAGGGAAGAACAUAUGUGUAAGUAACUGUGCACAUCUUGACGGUACCUAAUCAGAAAGCCACGGCUAACUACGUG